rnacentral:rRNA from 1 species
UACGAAGGGUGCAAGCGUUAAUCGGAAUUACUGGGCGUAAAGCGUGCGUAGGCGGUUCGUUAAGUCUGUCGUGAAAGCCCUGGGCUCAACCUGGGAAUGGCGAUGGAUACUGGCGAGCUAGAGUGUGAUAGAGGAUGGCGGAAUUCCCGGUGUAGCGGUGAAAUGCGUAGAGAUCAGGAGGAACACCGGUGGCGAAGGCGCUCAUCUGGCCCAAUACUGACGCUGAGGCGCGAAAGCUAGGGGAGCAAACGGG